UGGGGGAUAUUGCACAAUGGGCGAAAGCCUGAUGCAGCGACGCCGCGUGGGGGAUAAAGGCUUUCGGGUUGUAAACCUCUUUCGCUAUCGAACAAGGCCCGCUUAGGGUGGGUUGAGGGUAGGUGGAGAAGAAGCGCCGGCUAACUACGUGCCAGCAGCCGCGGUAAUACGUAGGGCGCGAGCGUUGUCCGGAAGUAUUGGGCGUAAAGGGCUUGUAGGCGGCUUGUUGCGCCUGCUGUGAAAACGCGGGGCUUAACUUCGCGCGUGCAGUGGGUACGGGCAGGCUUGAGUGUGGUAGGGGUGACUGGAAUUCCAGGUGUAGCGGUGGAAUGCGCAGAUAUCUGGAGGAACACCGAUGGCGAUGGCAGGUCACUGGGCCAUUACUGACGCUGAGGAGCGAAAGCAUGGGUAGCGAACAGG
rnacentral:rRNA from 1 species